rnacentral:rRNA from 1 species
UACGUAGGGGGCAAGCGUUGUUCGGAAUUACUGGGCGUAAAGGGCGCGUAGGCGGCACAGCAAGUCGGGAGUGAAAGCCCGGGGCUCAACCCCGGAACGGCUUUCGAAACUGCUGAGCUAGAGUAUAGAAGGGGCAACCGGAAUUCCCAGUGUAGCGGUGAAAUGCGUAGAUAUUGGGAAGAACACCUGAGGCGAAGGCGGGUUGCUGGGCUGAUACUGACGCUGAGGCGCGAAAGCCAGGGGAGCAAACGGG